GACGAACGCUGGCGGCGUGCUUAACACAUGCAAGUCGAACGAGUGGCUAACGGGUGAGUAAUACGUGAGUAACCUGCCCUCUUUUUGGGAUACACCUUGGAAACGGGGUCUAAUACCGAAUCAAUGGGGAUGGGCUCGCGGCCUAUCAGCUUGUUGGUUGGGUGAUGGCCUACCAAGUCGGUGACUGGUCGCCGGCCUGAGAGGGUGACCGGACACAUUGGGACUGAUAUACGGCCCAGACUCCUACGGGAGGCAGCAGUGGGGAAUAUUGGACAAUGGGCGAAAGCCUGAUCCAGCCAUGCCGCGUGUGUGAAGAAGGUCUUCGGAUUGUAAAGCACUUUAAGUUGGGAGGCGUUACCAACAGAAUAAGCGCCGGCUAACUACGUGCCAGCCGCCGCGGUAAUAC
rnacentral:rRNA from 1 species